rnacentral:rRNA from 1 species
GAAAUCUACAUAUCAAUAAGCGGAGGAAAAGAAACCAACAGGGAUUGCCUUAGUAACGGCGAGUGAAGCGGCAACAGCUCAAAUUUGAAAUCUGGCCCUUGGGUCCGAAUUGUAAUUUGUAGAGGAUGAUUUUGGUGCGGUAUCUUCCGAGUUCCUUGGAACAGGACGCCUUAGAGGGUGAGAGCCCCGUACGGUUGAAUGCCUAGCCUCUGUAAAUCUCCUUCGACGAGUCGAGUAGUUUGGGAAUGCUGCUCUAAAUGGGAGGUAAAUUUCUUCUAAAGCUAAAUAUUGGCCAGAGACCGAUAGCGCACAAGUAGAGUGAUCGAAAGAUGAAAAGCACUUUGAAAAGAGGGUUAAAUAGCACGUGAAAUUGUUGAAAGGGAAGGAUUUGUGACCAGACUUUUUCUGGGCGGAUCAUCCGGGGUUCUCUCCGGUGCACUUCGCCCAGUAAAGGCCAGCAUCGGUUUUCGGCGUGGGAUAAAAGCAGUAGGAAUGUGGCUCUCUACGGGGAGUGUUAUAGCCUAUUGUAUAAUACCGCGCUGGGGACCGAGGUUCGCGCUUCUGCAAGGAUGCUGGCGUAAUGGUUAUCAAUCACCCGUCUUGAAACACGGACCAAGGAGUCGAACAUUUGUGCGAGUGUUUGGGUGUUAAACCCUCACGCGUAAUGAAAGUGAACGGAGGUGAGAGCCCUUACGGGUGCAUCAUCGACCGAUCCUGAAGUUUUCGGAUGGAUUUGAGUAAGAGCAUAACUGUUCGGACCCGAAAGAUGGUGAACUAUGCGUGGAUAGGGUGAAGCCAGAGGAAACUCUGGUGGAGGCUCGCAGCGGUUCUGACGUGCAAAUCGAUCGUCAAAUCUGCGCAUGGGGGCGAAAGACUAAUCGAGCCAUCUAGUACUGGGUACGCAGAUUUUUCCCCC